rnacentral:rRNA from 1 species
CGACGGCAGCACGGGUGCUUGCACCUGGUGGCGAGUGGCGAACGGGUGAGUAAUGCGUCGGAACGUACCGAGUAAUGGGGGAUAACGCAGCGAAAGUUGUGCUAAUACCGCAUACGCCCUGAGGGGGAAAGUGGGGGACCGCAAGGCCUCACGUUAUUCGAGCGGCCGACGUCUGAUUAGCUAGUUGGUGGGGUAAAGGCCUACCAAGGCGACGAUCAGUAGCGGGUCUGAGAGGAUGAUCCGCCACACUGGGACUGAGACACGGCCCAGACUCCUACGGGAGGCAGCAGUGGGGAAUUUUGGACAAUGGGGGCAACCCUGAUCCAGCCAUUCCGCGUGAGUGAAGAAGGCCUUCGGGUUGUAAAGCUCUUUCAGCUGGAACGAAACGGUACGCGCUAACAUCGUGUGCUAAUGACGGUACCGGCAGAAGAAGCACCGGCUAACUACGUGCCAGCAGCCGCGGUAAUACGUAGGGUGCGAGCGUUAAUCGGAAUUACUGGGCGUAAAGCGUGCGCAGGCGGAUUGUUAAGCAAGACGUGAAAUCCCCGGGCUUAACCUGGGAAUGGCGUUUUGAACUGGCAGUCUAGAGUGCGUCAGAGGGGGGUGGAAUUCCACGUGUAGCAGUGAAAUGCG